AACCUCUGCAAUGCGGGAAACCGUGACAGGGGGAUCCCAAGUGCUCAUGCAUUGCAUGGGCUGUUCUUUGGUCUAAGUAACCAGAGGAGUAAGGGCUGGGCAAGACCGGUGCCAGCCGCCGCGGUAAUACCGGCAGCUCAAGUGGUAGCCGCGAUUAUUGGGCCUAAAGCGUUCGUAGCCGGAUAAGUAAGUCUUUGGUUAAAUCCUGCGACUUAACCGUGGGAAAUCUAGAGAUACUGCUUGUCUUGAGACCGGGAGAGGUUGGAGGUACUCCCAGGGUAGGGGUGAAAUCCUGUAAUCCUGGGGGGACUACCUGUGGCGAAGGCGUCCAACUGGAACGGGUCUGACGGUGAGGGACGAAACCUAGGGGAGCGAGCCGGAUUAUACCCGGGUAG
rnacentral:rRNA from 1 species